rnacentral:rRNA from 1 species
UACAGAGGUCCCGAGCGUUGUUCGGAUUUAUUGGGCGUAAAGGGUGCGUAGGCGGCGGAGUAAGUUGGGUGUGAAAUCCCGGGGCUUAACCUCGGAAUUGCAUUCAAUACUGCUUCGCUAGAGUACUGGAGAGGAGGCUGGAAUUUACGGUGUAGCAGUGAAAUGCGUAGAUAUCGUAAGGAAGGCCGGUGGCGAAGGCGAGCCUCUGGACAGUUACUGACGCUGAUGCACGAAGGCCAGGGGAGCAAACGGG